rnacentral:rRNA from 1 species
AUUGAACGCUGGCGGCAUGCUUUACACAUGCAAGUCGAACGGCAGCGGGGUAGUGCUUGCACUACUGCCGGCGAGUGGCGAACGGGUGAGUAAUAUAUCGGAACGUACCGAGUAAUGGGGGAUAACCAAUCGAAAGAUUGGCUAAUACCGCAUACGUCCUGAGGGAGAAAGCGGGGGAUCGCAAGACCUCGCGUUAUUCGAGCGGCCGAUAACUGAUUAGCUAGUUGGUGGGGUAAAGGCCUACCAAGGCGACGAUCAGUAGCGGGUCUGAGAGGACGAUCCGCCACACUGGGACUGAGACACGGCCCAGACUCCUACGGGAGGCAGCAGUAGGGAAUCUUCGGCAAUGGGGGGAACCCUGACCGAGCAACGCCGCGUGUAUGAAGAAGGCCUUCGGGUUGUAAAGUACUUUUGUUAGGGAAGAAAAGGGAAGUGCUAAUACCACUUUUUGCUGACGGUACCUAAAGAAUAAGCACCGGCUAACUACGUGCCAGCAGCCGCGGUAAUACGUAGGGUGCGAGCGUUAAUCGGAAUUACUGGGCGUAAAGCGAGCGCAGACGGUUAUUUAAGCAGGAUGUGAAAUCCCCGGGCUUAACCUGGGAACUGCGUUCUGAACUGGAUAGCUAGAGUGUGUCAGAGGGGGGUAGAAUUCCACGUGUAGCAGUGAAAUGCGUAGAGAUGUGGAGGAAUACCGAUGGCGAAGGCAGCCCCCUGGGAUAACACUGACGUUCAUGCUCGAAAGCGUGGGUAGCAAACAGG